UACGGAGGAUGCGAGCGUUAUCCGGAUUUAUUGGGUUUAAAGGGUGCGUAGGCGGGAUGCCAAGUCAGCGGUAAAAAUGCGGUGCUCAACGCCGUCGAGCCGUUGAAACUGGCGUUCUUGAGUGGGCGAGAAGUAUGCGGAAUGCGUGGUGUAGCGGUGAAAUGCAUAGAUAUCACGCAGAACUCCGAUUGCGAAGGCAGCGUACCGGCGCCCAACUGGCGCUGAGGCACGAAAGUGCGGGGGUCGAACAGG
rnacentral:rRNA from 1 species